UUAUUCCAAUUACAAUAUGAAAUUCUUUGUAAUGGAAUAAAAAAAAAAACAAUUACAUUUGAAAUUACUUUAAGGAAUUGAGAAAGUACUCGAUUCCUUUUCUGUGGACUGAAGGAAUUGAUUCCUAAUUACAAUUCCUUGUAAUUUGUAAUUGGUAGUAACUUUAAUUCCUAAAGGAUUCAUUACGACCCAGCUCUGUAUGUAUUGUAACAUUAA